CCUACGGGAGGCAGCAGUGGGGAAUAUUGGACAAUGGGCGAAAGCCUGAUCCAGCAAUGCCGCGUGAGUGAUGAAGGCCUUCGGGUCGUAAAGCUCUUUUACCAGGGAUGAUAAUGACAGUACCUGGAGAAUAAGCUCCGGCUAACUCCGUGCCAGCAGCCGCGGUAAUACGGAGGGAGCUAGCGUUGUUCGGAAUUACUGGGCGUAAAGAGUACGUAGGCGGUUAUUCAAGUCAGAGGUGAAAGCCCGGGGCUCAACCCCGGAACUGCCUUUGAAACUAGAUAACUAGAGUCUUGGAGAGGUUAGUGGAAUUCCGAGUGUAGAGGUGAAAUUCGUAGAUAUUCGGAAGAACACCAGUGGCGAAGGCGACUAACUGGACAAGUACUGACGCUGAGGUACGAAAGCGUGGGGAGCAAACAGGAUUAGAUACCCUGGUAGUCCACGCCGUAAACGAUGAUAACUAGUUGUUCGGUCACUUGGUGUACUGAGUAGACGCGAGACUACGACAUAAGUUAUCCGUCCGGGACGGUACGGUCGCGAGAGUAACUACAANAGAGUAGAGCGNGUAAGAGUGCGACGACGACGACGAGGAGGAGG
rnacentral:rRNA from 1 species